UUGAUUGGAUGGGUUCAUUUGACUCUAGAUGAGACAAUCAGCUUUCUAAAUAACAAUAGCAAGGAAAUUUUACUCACAAAAUACACACCAGUGAGGAAAUACAAUCUAACUGUGAUCCUUCGAAACCUAAAUCUACGGGAAAUAGCACCCUUGAUCUGGGAGCUUAGGCUAGUAAAAUGCAUACAAGAUUAUGGGUUAAAGGGAUGGGGAUCAGCUAGAAGGUGGAUGGGUGGUGGAGUAGGGUUUUUGUACCUCUUGGCGUUCAAGGCGGAGGCGGUGGCAGCAUGCCGAUGCAGGAGUCCGCGACUCAUCAGCGUCGCAGAUCGGCGAGGCAAGGGAUGGAGUCCUGGCGCUUAUCACCCCAAAGGCAGCCAUGUCCGGAAUGGGAUCGAGCAAUGCUUUACCUUGUCCGCAGCGUUGGUGGUGGUGGUGUCGAAGGCGAAGGCGACUCGCGACGCGGUCGGCGGGAGGCGCUCGCUGGAGAGGGGCGCGGGCGUUGGAGGCUUGUCGUGA
rnacentral:lncRNA from 1 species